rnacentral:lncRNA from 7 species
AGAGGCUUCUCACUUUGGUAUCGAUAUGCGUCUGAACUCCUCCACUCUUUCACUAGGGGUACACACAACUCUGGACUUGUGCAGCUAAUAGAUUACUUUCUCAAAACAACCUAUUUUGGAGGAAAUGCCCAUGGGAAUACGGUUCUUGGGAUACCACAGGGGAGUACCAUCUCACCGGUCCUUAUGAACAGCUUUCCCCACUGAAUCAUUAGAUCACCCGCUUAUGUUCCCUAGUUGUCCAGGUGUGACCUAGUUUGCUUAGUAAGUAUGGAAGGACAAAAGAUGAGUACAGAUGACUACUAUUCUCCGGCAGAAAGUCACUCAUUUCCUCUUAAAGGUCCCAAAGAUAUGAGUAAAAAACUCUUCCAAAUCAAAGAUUUGCCUAU